AUUGAACGCUGGCGGCAUGCUUUACACAUGCAAGUCGAACGGUAACAGGGAGCUUGCUCCGCUGACGAGUGGCGAACGGGUGAGUAAUGCGUCGGAACGUGCCGAGUAGUGGGGGAUAACGCAGCGAAAGUUGUGCUAAUACCGCAUACGUACUGAGGUAGAAAGUGGGGGACCUUCGGGCCUCACGCUAUUCGAGCGGCCGACGUCUGAUUAGCUAGUAGGUGAGGUAAAGGCUCACCUAGGCGACGAUCAGUAGCGGGUCUGAGAGGAUGAUCCGCCACACUGGGACUGAGACACGGCCCAGACUCCGACGGGAGGCAGCAGUGGGGAAUUUUGGACAAUGGGCGCAAGCCUGAUUCAGCAAUGCCGCGUGCAGGAAGAAGGCCUUCGGGUUGUAAACUGCUUUUGUCAGGGAAGAAAUCUUCUGGGCUAAUACCCCGGGGGGAUGACGGUACCUGAAGAAUAAGCACCGGCUAACUACGUGCCAGCCGCCGCAGUAACAC
rnacentral:rRNA from 1 species